AGUGAACGCUGGCGGUAGGCCUAACACGUGCGAGUCGAACGGCAGCACAGUAAGAGCUUGCUCUUACGGGUGGCGAGUGGCGGACGGGUGAGGAAUACAUCGGAAUCUACUUUUUCGUGGGGGAUAACGUAGGGAAACUUACGCUAAUACCGCAUACGACCUACGGGUGAAAGCAGGGGAUCUUCGGACCUUGCGCGAUUGAAUGAGCCGAUGUCGGAUUAGCUAGUUGGCGGGGUAAAGGCCCACCAAGGCGACGAUCCGUAGCUGGUCUGAGAGGAUGAUCAGCCACACUGGAACUGAGACACGGUCCAGACUCCUACGGGAGGCAGCAGUGGGGAAUAUUGGACAAUGGGCGCAAGCCUGAUCCAGCCAUACCGCGUGGGUGAAGAAGGCCUUCGGGUUGUAAAGCCCUUUUGUUGGGAAAGAAAAGCAGCAGGUUAAUACCCCGCUGUUCUGACGGUACCCAAAGAAUAAGCACCGGCUAACUUCGUG
rnacentral:rRNA from 1 species